GAUGAACGCUGGCGGCGUGCCUAAUACAUGCAAGUCGAGCGAACAGAUGAGGAGCUUGCUCCUCUGACGUUAGCGGCGGACGGGUGAGUAACACGUGGAUAACCUACCUAUAAGACUGGGAUAACUUCGGGAAACCGGAGCUAAUACCGGAUAAUAUAUUGAACCGCAUGGUUCAAUAGUGAAAGACGGUUUUGCUGUCACUUAUAGAUGGAUCCGCGCCGCAUUAGCUAGUUGGUAAGGUAACGGCUUACCAAGGCAACGAUGCGUAGCCGACCUGAGAGGGUGAUCGGCCACACUGGAACUGAGACACGGUCCAGACUCCUACGGAAGGCAGCAGUAGGGAAGCUUCCGCAAUGGGCGAAAGCCUGACGGAGCAACGCCGCGUGAGUGAUGAAGGUCUUCGGAUCGUAAAACUCUGUUAUUAGGGAAGAACAAAUGUGUAAGUAACUAUGCACGUCUUGACGGUACCUAAUCAGAAAGCCACGGCUAACUACGUG
rnacentral:rRNA from 1 species